rnacentral:rRNA from 1 species
AUUGAACGCUGGCGGCAUGCCUAACACAUGCAAGUCGAACGAGUGGCGGACGGGUGAGUAAUGUCUGGGAAACUGCCUGAUGGAGGGGGCAAACUACUGGAAACGGUAGCUAAUACUGCUUACCAUCCGAUGGGCCCAGAUGGGAUUAGCUUGUUGGUGGGGUAACGGCUCACAAAGGCGACGAUCCCUAGCUGGUCUGAGAGGAUGACCGGCCACACUGGAACUGAGACACGGCCCAGACUCCUACGGGAGGCAGCAGUGGGGAAUAUUGCACAAUGGGCGCAAGCCUGAUGCAGCCAUGCCGCGUGUGUGAAGAAGGCCUUCGGGUUGUAAAGUACUUUCGGCGGAGAGGCGUUACCCACAGAGAAAGCACCGGCUAACUCCGUGCCAGCAGCCGCGGUAAUAC